GUCCCACACAACUUUCCGUGAGCACACCUGUUAAGGAAAAUCACUAUCCUUGCCACCUUACUUUGGUACCAGUUGCUGGCAUAGUGGUUACAGAUUACAGUCGUAGUUCUUCAAAUACUACUUAUCUUAAUUAUUUUUAUUUGGAUUAAAAGUAAAAAAUAGAAAUAUGCUGAUUCGACAUCUAGCAAAUCUUUCACACAACCAUCAAAGAGAUUUCAGGAAGGUAUUUUAUGAUUUAACAGAUAUUUCAUUACAUUUUGGUCAAAUGAUGGACCAUUUAGUGAAUAUAAUAAAAAAAUGAUGAGUUCGUAGAUGCCAAGAAUCAGAGAAUAUACCAGUCGAGACAUACUUCUUUUGUCCAGCUGAGAAUGUCUCUUUUCGUAUCAUCUCCAACCACGAUAUCAACACAAAUAUCAAAACCUAGAAUAUAUUUGAAAAUGACUAUCAUUGUUAAUAUAAGGAAUUAAGCAUAACGAAAAGAGCUGACACCUAAAAGUAACAGAACACAGACCAUGAAUUAAGUCAAAUCUUCCUCCUUUUAAAUUUACUUAACACAAUAUGCAAUUCAAAAUCAGAAGCAUAUGACACUUCAAAGGUAACACAUUACUCUCAAAGUAUAAAUCACUAAAUUGCGAGCUCAAAAAUAUAAUAGUGUAAAUACCUUACCAUCAACUAAAAAAGUUAUCCUUUUAAGUUCUGAGCCUGAUUUCAGUAGCUAUUUCCUCAAGAAAAAUACACUAAUGUUUUGUGAAAACCAAUUAAUUUCAUCAACCUCAAGCACCUUGAGAAAAUUUCUGUGGAAACUCAAUUUGUACCAUUAUAGAAUCGAUGGCACUUAGGUUCCAGUUCAUAUUCUUCAAUGCAUUAACAGUUAGACAUGCCUCCCUUAAAAAGGAGAUCUAUGACAGCCUGAAAUUGGCAAAAGAAAGAAGAACCACAUUUUGAUUAGCUCUGUUGUAGUAAUCUAUAAUUUUUUCUCCCAAAUGACUAUCUUUCUGAAGACAUACCUGAAAAUUAAAUUAUAUAAUAACACCUUGAUAGAAAAGUCAUUUUUAAUGUCACAUCCUUAAUUCCUUUCUAAUAUAAUUUUAUUCCAUGUGCAUUUUACACUAUAUUAACUUUGGCAGCAACUUAUGUGGCAUAGACAUUAAUGGAGCACUUGGAUAAGAAAAGAAAUCUAUCUGUACUAAGAAAAAGAAUAAAAUGAGUGUCUGAGUACUUGCAUAUACUUGGCAGAUACGUUUUUUGAAAAGCAUUUUCUCGAAUUUCCAUGCUGUACAACUCGUAUCAUCGCCACUACUUCAGUCUACUAAAAGGCCAUCAUAUUGACAUGAAAACUAUCCCCUUCUUCUAACAUGAAACCCCAUUCUGCUUUGCUAAAAAAGUAGAAAUUGGAUCACAAAAUUGAUUUUUUGGGAAAAACCUAAUGAAUUUUAAGAGAUCGAAAAAAUUGUGGAAAGAAAAUUCACUUUGUGAAAAAUCAAUGGAGAGUUUUGCUCAUGAACGGAAGAAAAGUUUUUUUUUUUGUGAA
rnacentral:lncRNA from 1 species